GAUGAACGCUGGCGGCGUGCCUAAUACAUGCAAGUCGAGCGAACAGACGAGGAGCUUGCUCCUCUGACGUUAGCGGCGGACGGGUGAGUAACACGUGGAUAACCGACCUAUAAGACUGGGAUAACUUCGGGAAACCGGAGCUAAUACCGGAUAAUAUAUUGAACCGCAUGGUUCAAUAGUGAACGCCGGUUUUGCUGUCACUUAUAGAUGGAUCCGCGCCGCAUUAGCUAGUUGGUAAGGUAACGGCUUACCAAGGCAACGAUGCGUAGCCGACCUGAGAGGGUGGUCGGCCAAACUGGAACUGGAACACGGUCCAGAAUCCUAAGGGGAGGAAGAAGAGGGAAACUUUCGCAAAGGGCGGAAACCUUGCGGAAGAAAGGCGGGGGGUGGGAGAAAGGCUUCGGGUCUGUAAACUCUGUUAUUAUGGAAGAACAAAUGGGUAAGUAACUAUGCACUGCUUGACGGUACCUAAUCAGAAAAGCACGGCUAACUACGUG
rnacentral:rRNA from 1 species